GCUCUAUGCUACAUUUGGAGGGUUUUUAAUAAUAUUGAACUAUACAGAGGAAGAUUAACUCCUGCAAUAGGAUGACACACAGAUUUGUGAAGCAUUCCAUAUUUUU